rnacentral:rRNA from 1 species
UAGGGAAUCUACCACAAUGGGCGAAAGCCUGAUGGAGCAACGCCGCGUGUGUGAUGAAGGGUUUCGGCUCGUAAAACACUGUUGUAAGAGAAGAAUGACAUUGAGAGUAACUGUUCAAUGUGUGACGGUAUCUUACCAGAAAGGAACGGCUAAAUACGUGCCAG